AGGGACAGUGACCCCACCACAUCACACUUCAGAUGAGAGUUCAGAGCAAACAGUUUCUCAGGUUUUCCCUUUCCUGUUGUUCUCUCUCCAUAGCAUAGUGGUCCAUCUGAACUUGUUUUGACAUCCGUAUAAAGACGAUAGCAUUGACAUGCCCAAGUACUGAUCCAUCUGCCUAGAGAUCCAGCUUAUUCCUAAAUUGCUCAAGUACGCCUCAUGCCACAGGAUCACAUACUCUGCCGAGGGCAUACAUCUUGGCAACAAGUCUGUGCUGAAAGGGCUGAUUGUGAUGCAUUGUUGUGUCUGUAGGCACAUGCUUUGCCUGCUCGGGGCAAUGAUGCUGCUCAUUUCAGCUUAAAGGCAUGGGGCAUUUCCAGGUACCAGCAGUUCAUUUCAGGGGGGUUGCAUGCUCCCCUAAUCAGUUGCCCUGCUAAGUAAGUUUGCCUUUCACCACCCUAGUAAAGCAAUGCCUCCUGGAAUCAUAGAAACCCCUCUGUGCAAGUUUGCAUUUAAGUUCUGUAUGUUUCUAUUAAUUUGAAUGGAGAAAUGGUUGCCAGGAAACAUGACGAGGCAAAGACAAGAAAGAUACAGCCUAAGAAGACAUUAAGUGAAAGCUUUCCAAGGAGUGAUAAGCUCUGGAGACUGGUAAUCCUGAUGAGCUUACAAGAACUGAUAGACUCCAGAGCCUGAUGUUGAACAAGGCUGCCAGCAAACAUCAGCAUCUUCAGCAGGUUGUAUAACUCAGAUCACACCCACGAGGGCACUGGCUGCUGCAUGCAAGUGAAGACUAUGGAGUCAUGUAUGCACCUGGUGAAACAAAGCGCCCUCUGAAGGGAUUUCUAAACACCUGCCUAGAACCCACUGGUGCAUCAGGAUGACCUCCUGCUUCUGAGCAAACACGCUGGGGUUGGCCUCCCAGCUCCAGCUGGGCAACAACAGUGAAUGUGUCUCCACAGGUGAUGCCUCAAGGCUGCUGCUGAUGUCCAGGGAAACUAUGCAGAUUCAGCACUCCUAAUGUGGAAAAACAACCACGUGUUACAAAUUGCAUCGCGCCAAAAAAGAUAGCAGCAACAUUUUUACCUUGCAAGCCUCCCCCUGGAUAUGCCUCCAGGUAAUCUGUGUACCCAUCUCUCUGGGACUGUCAUGUCUGUACCUCCACUUAAGGAGCAGAUUUCUCCAUACGUGCAUAAAGAA